ACAACUUGGUUGGAGAUUCUGGGGCGGAGGCGUUGGCGCAGGCACUCAUUGAGAACACGUCUUGCUCCUUGAAGAGCCUCAAGCUACGUUUCAAUGUGGUUGGUGCGCGAG
rnacentral:SRP_RNA from 1 species